rnacentral:lncRNA from 7 species
CAAAUUUUAGGGCUUUACACACGGCGCCCCGGCACCCAAGCUCAUAUCCAACUGGAUCUACUCGAUGUUAAGACGAUGGCAGAUCAAGGGAGAAAUCUCUCACCGAUGGUGAUGGCGUAGAAGUUCACGUCGUCGAUGUUAGGCGGCUCUACGGUCCAACCAAUCUCCUGUGAAAAAUUCCUUGCUACAGGGUAGCGGGUUGUCAAGGCCGUCUGUCGCCAUACGUCAUAUAGGCACACACGAACACAUGGGGAUGAUCCAUUCCUAUGGGGAAUGGCGAAGAUGAGUCGGUCUUCGUCUACGCGCUGUUCGGUGGUGGGCACAACGAUCUGUCGAGCAAUUCCUCUCGCCACCCACACCCCUCCUACUCGGCGAUGCCUCGGUCGAGUUCCACGCACCCUCACAAAACUCCUCGGUCAUUCAUUGGGGACCUAUCACCAGCACUCGCGACGAAUGACCACAGCCGCUCAAUCUCACUCACUCUCU